AUUCUUGAAGCUUCUAUGCCAUUUUCUCUUUGUCCACCAUGAAACCAAGUUUUCAUCAUUUUCCUUUCCAUGUUUUUUUUUCCUUUCUUCUCCAAACUUCUUGAGCAUUAAAUUUACAACCUUUAACCCCAAUUUCCAGCACAUCUAAACCCUAGGAGGAGAAGAAAGAAAAAGAGAGAAAGGAAGAAAAAGCUUGGUUUUGGUGAUUCAAGCAAGGAACGGUAAAAAUUCUUGUUUUUUGUUUGAGUAAUCUUUGAAAAUGAGUUAGUGACUUAGAGAAAUGUCUUGUGGCAGAAAAGAUUGGCUUGAUUGGAGAAAAUUGAUAACAUGUAAGCCAAUAAAACCAUGGGUACAUGAAGGACUCAAAGUGGAAAAGGAAAACGGUAAGCUUAACACUAUGUUUUAAAGCCUACGGUUAAUUAAAUAUUGUGAGAAAUUAUGGUUGUUGAAAGGAUCUAUUUGCCUAAGCUCUUUGAAAAUUAUUAAGAUUGUAUGGCAUGUUGUUUGAAAGAAAUGAAAGAGGAAUAUUGUGGAUGGAGGAUUGAGAAACAAAGUAUUGAAAGUUAGAUAGAUAACGAUGCAUGUAAACUAGGAAAUAAUCGAGUGAAAGUGAGAAUGAUUGUUGCAUGGAAAUAUAAGAUAGAUUUAGGCAAAAAUUAUUUAGAAAGGUUGAAGUAGGCACGUGACAUCAUAAAUAAGUUUCCGGUGAUAUAAUCUAAGGAAUUACGUAAGCAAUGGAUAUAAGUAAUUUUAGAAAAAAUGUAUUAAGAUGUGAGUUAAUUGAAGAUGGUUUCAUGAUAGGAUGAAAAAUAUAAAUUUGAGCAAGGAUUAAUUGAUUGAAGUGCUACCCGUAUACAUAUAUAAUUAAAUAUAUUGAGUUCGUAUUAUUGUUAGGAAGUGCAAAGAUAAGGUUAGAGUAUUGUGGUGGCGUGCCGGAGUAAACAACGAGCGACCGGCCAGUGAAAAUAAUCAGAGACACCU
rnacentral:lncRNA from 1 species